UCCCCUAGUAACUGCGAGUGAAGAGGGAAAAGCUCAAAUUUAAAAUCUGGCAGCUCCGCUGUCCGAGUUGUAAUUUAGAGAAGUGUUACCCGCGCUGGACCGUGUAUAAGUCUCCUGGAAUGGAGCGUCAUAGAGGGUGAGAAUCCCGUCUUUGACACGGACUACCAGGGCAUUGUGGUGCGCUCUCGAAGAGUCGAGUUGUUUGGGAAUGCAGCUCUAAAUGGGUGGUAAAUUCCAUCUAAAGCUAAAUAUUGGCGAGAGACCGAUAGCGAACAAGUACCGUGAGGGAAAGAUGAAAAGAACUUUGGAAAGAGAGUUAAACAGUACGUGAAAUUGCUGAAAGGGAAACGCUUGAAGUCAGUCGCGUUGGCCGGGGAUCAGCCUUGCUUUUGUGAGGUGUACUUCCUGGUUAACGGGUCAGCAUCAGUUUCGACCAUUGGAAAAAGACUUGGGGAAUGUGGCACCUCCGGGUGUGUUAUAGACCCUUGUCGUAUACAGUGGUUGGGACUGAGGAACUCAGCACGCCGCAAGGCCGGGUUUCGACCACGUUCGUGCUUAGGAUGCUGGCA
rnacentral:rRNA from 1 species